ACGAACGCUUGCGGCGUGCUUAACACAUGCAAGUUGAACGGAAAGGCCCUGCCUUUGUGGGGUGCUCGAGUGGCGAACGGGUGAGUAACACGUGAGUAACCUGCCCUUGACUUUGGGAUAACUUCAGGGAACUGGGGCUAAUACCGGAUAGGAGCUCCUGCUGCAUGGUGGGGGGUGGAAAGUUUCGGCGGUUGGGGAUGGACUCGCGGCUUAUCAGCUUGUUGGUGGGGUAGUGGCUUACCAAGGCGUUGACGGGUAGCCGGCCUGAGAGGGUGACCGGCCACAGUGGGACUGAGAUACGGCCCAGACUCCUACGGGAGGCAGCAGUGGGGAAUAUUGCACAAUGGGCGGAAGCCUGAUGCAGCAACGCCGCGUGCGGGAUGACGGCCUUCGGGUUGUAAACCGCUUUCGCCUGUGACGAAGCGUGAGUGACGGUAAUGGGUAAAGAAGCACCGGCUAACUACGUG
rnacentral:rRNA from 1 species